GUGAUAGGGAUCCUAAGUGAUGAUGUAAAACAUCAUCUUUUUCUAAGAGCAAAAAUCUUAGAGAAUAAGUGGUGGGCAAUACCUGUGCCAGCCGCCGCGGUAACCCAGGAGCCACAAGUGGCAGCCACCUUUAUUGGGCCUAAAGCGUCCGUAGCCGGUUUUGUAAAUUUUCUGUGAAAUCGUUGCGCUUAACGUAACGGCGCGCAGAAAACACUGCAAGACUCGGGACCGGGAAGAGUCAGAGGUAUUUGGGGGGGAGCGGUAAAAUGCUAUAAUCCCCCAAGGACCACCUGUGGCGAAGGCGUCUGACUAGAACGGAUCCGACGGUGAGGGACGAAAGCUAGGGGAGCAAUCCGGAUUAGAUACAACCUUUUGGGAAAAGCUUGACCAAAACCAUGUCCUAAAAAAUCCAAAGGAUUUUUGGGAACUUGAAAAUCAAAAAUUUUCAAGUCAAUGCGUAAUCUACGAUUACGCGGAACGAUGGAACGCGUCGACGAUUGAAAUUGUGAUUGCAAAAAUUUACUGCAAUUUCAGUUGAAUAUACCAAAAAGUGUUGCUAAUUACCCGAGUAGUCCUAGCUGUAAACUCUGCGAGCUAGGUGUUGCGUAAUCUUAGGGAUUACGUGGUGUCGUAGCGAAGGCGCUAAGCUCGCCGCCUGGGAAGUACGGUCGCAAGGCUGAAACUUAAAGGAAUUGGCGGGGGAGCACUACAAGGGGUGCGGCGUGCGGUUUAAUCCAAUUCAACACGGAGAAUCUCACCAGGAGCGACGGCAGGAUGAAGGUCAGGCUGAAGGUCUUACCCAACGAGCCGAGAGGUAGUGCAUGGCCGUCGUCAGCUCGUGCCGUAAGGUGUCCUGUUAAGUCAGGCAACGAGCAAGACCUGCGCCCACAAUUGCUAACGAGUUCCGCAAGGAAUGAUUGAGCACAUUGUGGGGACUGCUCCAGAAAUGGAAAAGGAAGGUGCAGACAACGGUAGGUCUGUAUGCUCCGAAUCUUCUGGGCUACACGCGCGCAACAAUGGUAGGGACAAUGGGAUGCAACACCGAAAGGUGAAGCUAAUCCUCGAAACCCUAUCCUAGUCCA
rnacentral:rRNA from 1 species